rnacentral:rRNA from 1 species
UACGUAGGGGGCAAGCGUUGUCCGGAAUCAUUGGGCGUAAAGAGCGCGUAGGCGGCCAGAUAAGUCCGGUGUGAAAGUCACAGGCUCAACCUGUGAAUGCCGCUGGAAACUGUCUGGCUAGAGUCCGGGAGGGGCGAGUGGAAUUCCUGGUGUAGCGGUGAAAUGCGCAGAUAUCAGGAGGAACACCAAUGGCGAAGGCAGCUCGCUGGAACGGUACUGACGCUGAGGCGCGAAAGCGUGGGGAGCAAACAGG